rnacentral:lncRNA from 1 species
CUUAGCGAGGCCAUGGGGGAAAAAGUCUAACUGGCGGAACUCCUGGGAACUGGGGCGAUGGGCUCUUAGUAUCGGAGGAUUGGAGCCAUCUGAUUUUUACCUGAAAUUCCUUAGUCUCUCCUGUGUUGGGGAAAUGAGACCGGGACUUGCUGUGUUGCCCAGGCUGGUCUUGAACUCCUGGUCUUAAGCAAUCAUACUGCUUUGGCCACCCAAAGCACUGGGAUUACAGGCGUGAACCACCACACCCAGCUCUUAAAACCACAGUAUUUCUAGAUUAAUAAGUACCUUGAAGAUGGGGUGCAGUCCUGGGAGGCACCGCAUGGUGGCGACAGCGAUGACCUCAGCCACCAGGUGAGUGUUCAGCAAGUGAUACUGGAUCUCGUGCAGUUGGAAAUCUGAAUUUCGGACCCAGGACUUUGCCAGGAGCCAGGCAAGUGGGGGGUCUGAGGGCAGGAACAGUGUUGGGGUUGGAGAGCUGGGGUUGGGAGGCUGAAUCUGGGAGAAAGAGAAAUUAUUGAACUCCCAUUCCGUAUAUGACAUUAUAGUCAGCAUUCUUGGGGAAACAGAGAUGACUAAGUAAGAUUAUUGCCUUCUAGGAGGUUAUAGUCUAGCAGGAGGACUGUGAACCCUCCCAGCCUGCCGCUCGCUAGCUGGAGUGCCCUGAUGUCAGGUGGAAGGCAGGAGGGACUGGAAGAAGGGGGUCCAGAAGGAGGCCCUAACAGUGGUGUGGGAGAAACCUGCUGCUUUGGGGUCGGCGCUCAGAUGGUGGUGGAAUGUGAAGGAGAAGUAGGAGGUGUAAGAUUAUUGACAGUUCUUGUCACCUGACUGUUAAGAAUAGUGAGAGAAGGCCAGGUGCAGUGGCUCACACCUGUAAUCCCAGCACUUUGGGAGGCCGAGGCAGGCAGAUUACUUGAGCCCAGAAGUUCAAGACCAGCCUGGGCAAUAUGGCGAAACCCCAUCUCUACAAAAAAUACAAAAAUUAGCCAGGCCCACAUGGUGGCACAUGCCUGUGGUCCCAGCUACUGGAGGGACUGAGGUGGGAGAAUUGCUUGAACCCAGGAGGCGCAGGUUGCAGUGAGCCAAGAUCACACAACUGUAUUCCAGCCUGAGUGACACAGUGAGAUUCUGUCUCAAAAAAAAAAAAGAAAUUGCGAGAAAAGAUAUUCAAGAGAUGGCGAGGGUUCAGAGCCAGAGGCCACUGAGAGAUGAGAUAGUGAUUCUGAAAGUGUAGUCCUGAACUGGUAGUGUCAGCAUCACUUUGGAACUUAUAAAAACGCAAACUCUUAGUUCCCACCCCAGACAUACUGAAUCAGAAAGUCUGGUCAUGGGAUCCAGAAAUCUGCAUUUCAACAGGCAUUCAGGUGAUUCUGAUGCACACUGAAGUGUGAGGACCAUUGGAUACAGGAUGAGAACUCCAGGAGGCCAUUUUGACUCUUGAAAAAGUAAUUCUAGUUGGAUGAGGCAGGGGAGACGAGGGUACAGGCAAAUAGUGACAUGAAGACAAGUCUCACUGAGUGAGGAUGGGGUUUGGGAGCCAAGAGCUGGGGGUUGGGUCCCUGGGAGCAGAGGUUGAGGUGAACAGAGUGCAACGUUGUGGGAGAGGUCUGGGGCCCUUACCUGGAUGACCAUGGGCUGCAGCUUCCCAUUGGGCUCCAUCUUCAGCAUAACGAGGGGGGCAGCCAGGUAUUGCUUCUCUCCUCGGAUCACGUUGGCUGGAAUUCCAUCCAGAAGGAUGAAGUCAGCUUCAAACAGGGAACCAUUCUGGGGACAGGAGGGAUCCCCGCAGCAGUUCCCGAGACCUUGUGCCUCCUUCCCCGACGCCGCCUGCUCACCGGUGCCCUCGGGCAGGCUCAGGAUGUCCUCGCCCUGCACCCAGCGGUAGCACGGGAAGGCCACCUCCGCGCAGGCUCCAGGGCCCUGCACCGUGAUGCGGUCGCAGAACCACGCGUCGUCCACCAGCCAGUGGUGCUUGCGCAGCCUCACGAACUGCAGGAGCCCCAAGUCCUCUGCAACGUCAUGAUCAAACUCCUCCUCCUGUGCAGGCCGGACCCAGGCCAGACUUAGUAGGAGGGACCCGACUGAGGCCGUUUCGAGGACAGAGCCGCGCUCCUGUGCAACCUCAGUUUCUCAGGGCCUCCAAAGACAGCAUCGCCUCGUUCCCGCCCCCGCACAACCUGCUCUUUGGGUCUCAGACGCCCGGAGUCGGGUGGAGGACGAGGGCCCGCAGCGCCUGGAGCUGAUGCUGGAGCAGCAUCGCCCACGUGGGUCCCAUUAACUGAGCUCUCCCCGCGCCGGUUCUUGGAGGAGCUUCACGUCUGACCUCUGGCCUCAUACUUACAUUGGCUCUGGGUCACUGGGAGAAGGAGCUGGGGGCUGCCGGGACCAGGGGCGGGAAAGGGAGAUGGGGUUGAGCCCAGCCCGGGAUCCCAGCUGCGGACCCUGUCCCUAAUCUUGCCCACCUCGUCCCAGCUUCGUGGAAGUCCCAGUCCGCGAGGUCGCGCUGUCACCUCGCCCCCAGCCUCCCGCCCUCCCGCCGCGAGCCCAGCUCGGCCCGGGCCUGGGCCCGGGGUCCCCGCUGCCCUAGCUCCCCUCGCUCCCCGCGCUGACCUCGCCCCGCGCGGGCCGCAGCUGCAGCUCCAGCUCCGCCUCCCCGCGCGUCCCGACCAGCCAAAGCUGCACGCGGUUGUACGACCCGGAGAAGAGCCAGGCCCCGGUGGCCACGCGGAUGCGGUAGCGGCCCAUGGCGCCCCCCAGCAGCUUAGGCGAGGGGAGCCGGGUCCUGUGCGAUUCCCGGGACCGCCCAGGGCUGCCGGCGCCUCGGGGCCACUUCCAACCUUUAAAGGACCGGUCUGCGGCCCCGCCCUCCUCGCAAGUUUUAGGCGCUCCCAAGUCCCCGCCCCAGACUAGCCCAAACCUGCGAGCAGAGCGGUAGAGCCGGCUGUGGGGACUGGCUGUGCCUCCUGGUCGGAGCGUAGCUGCAGGAUGAUAAAGGGGCCCGAGCCAGGGUGAGGCCAACGGGGUGGGUGCGGCGGGACCUUCCUGGACCUCCCGGGAAGGCGGGAUCGAGGUGGGCCUGAGCCCCCGGGUUGGAGCGAACAUAGAUGAGAACACUUCCCGAGGUCUCCAGGUCUUCUGGGGAGCCAGGAGGAAGUAGGGGAUGAGUCCAUCUUCCAAACGGAGGGGAAGGUCUCCGCUUUUCUGGGCUGGGACCCGGGGAAGGCAGUGGGCCGGCUUCUGGAAGGUCGGCCUGGGAGGCCGUGCUGGGGUCUGGGGAUGUCCCGCGGCUAGACCCGGCGCGGCCCAUGUGUCCUCCAGUACCUGAGCUCUGCCGCCCUUGAACGCUGUGCUUCCGUCAACGACCAGGGGUUCCCCAGGGUACCUAGAACCUGGAAAUGUAGCAGCUCAACACCCGCUCCCCACCCCGUUUCAAAUAUCUGGGCGCUGGGGUCCCAAUGUACACCAAAUAUCAUGGGCCAGACCUUUGAGAGAGGCCUGAGGCAGGGCAGUGAAAAACUCAUUUUGUCCAACCUCCGAAGCGGGUACAGACAAUGUUAGGGACCCAGGAACACCAGUCGGGGUGUUAGGGUGCGGGAUGGAAUUGCUUAGGGACCUGGCCUACGUGGCCAGUUCCCAAGAACUUUGUCUUUUCCAGGUGAGUGCAGCCCCUUCCGCUCCAGUAGGUUCCAGAUUAAUUUUUUAUCCCCAAGCUCUUUCCUGCUCCUUCAUGGGUCUCAGGUCUCCUGGAAAUCCAGGAACAGCAAUUAGCCCACUGCUAUUUAGGGCCUUUGUAAACAUUGAAGGAUGAUUCGGAGCUUAGGCUUUCUCUCCCGUGUCAGGAAUCAGUCAGAUGAAGCCUGCUGCACGCGUCCCUGUCUAGAUCUUGAUUCAAGUGAUUAUAUGCAUUUGGAUCUCCGUGGAUGCAUCUGGUGGCCUGGGCUAGGCCAGUGUCCACUCUGGCCUACAUCCUCUGCUCAGGACUGCAGGUCGGCCAUUUGCUGGUCCCCAGUUCUUCC